rnacentral:rRNA from 1 species
CGCGCAGGCGGUCUGAUAAGUUUGACGUGAAAGCUCCUGGCUUAACUGGGAGAGGUCGUUGGAAACUGUCAGGCUUGAGGCAAUGAGAGGGGUGCGGAAUUCCCGGUGUAGUGGUGGAAUGCGUAGAUAUCGGGAGGAACACCAGUGGCGAAAGCGGCACCCUGGCAUUGACCUGACGCUGAAGUGCGAAAGCGUGGGGAGCGAAC